CUACGGGACGCAGCAGUCGAGAAUCAUUGUCAAUGCACGAAAGUGUGAACAUGCGACGCCGCGUGGAGGAAGACGGCCCUUGGGUUGUAAACUCCUGUCAGCAGGGAGGAAGGGCAGCAUCACUAAUAGUGGUGUUGUUUGACAGUACCUGCAGAGGAAGUCACGGCUAACUCUGUGCCAGCAGCCGCGGUAAUACAGAGGUGGCGAACGUUGUUCGGAUUUACUGGGCGUAAAGGGUCCGUAGGCGGCUUGGUGUGUCAGAUGUGAAAGCCCACAGCUCAACUGUGGAAUUGCAUUUGAAACUGCCGAGCUAGAGUACUGGAGGGGAGAAGGGAACACUUGGUGUAGCGGUGAAAUGCGUAGAUAUCAAGUGGAACACCGGAGGCGAAGGCGCUUCUCUGGACAGAUACUGACGCUCAUGGACGAAAGUUAGGGUAGCGAAAGGGAUUAGAUACCCCUGUAGUC
rnacentral:rRNA from 1 species